UCAAACUUGGUCAUUUAGAGGAAGUAAAAGUCGUAACAAGGUUUCCGUAGGUGAACCUGCGGAAGGAUCAUUAUUGAAUAAACCUGGUGGGUUGUCGCUGGCUCUUUGGAGCAUGUGCACGCUCAUCAUCUUUAUCCAUCCACCUGUGCACACUUUGUAGUCUUGGGACAGAUGCUCUGUCGGGUGAUACGCCCGGAUGUGAGGAUUGCUUGUGCACACUGUACAGCUUUACCUCUUCUUCUGCUCAAGUCUAUGUGGUUUCAUACACCCCAAUAGCAUGUCAUAGAAUGUAUUCAAUGGGCCUAUGUGCCUAUAUAAAACUAUAUACAACUUUCAGCAACGGAUCUCUUGGCUCUCGCAUCGAUGAAGAACGCAGC
rnacentral:misc_RNA from 1 species